UACAGAGGUCUCAAGCGUUGUUCGGAUUCAUUGGGCGUAAAGGGUGUGUAGGUGGCGCGCUAAGUCGGGUGUGAAAUUUCGGAGCUUAACUCCGAAACUGCAUUCGAUACUGCCGUGCUUGAGGACUGGAGAGGAGACUGGAAUUUACGGUGUAGCGGUGAAAUGCGUAGAUAUCGUAAGGAAGACCAGUGGCGAAGGCGGGUCUCUGGACAGUGCCUGACGCUGAGGCACGAAGGCUAGGGGAGCAAACGGG
rnacentral:rRNA from 1 species